rnacentral:rRNA from 1 species
ACGAAUCUUCUUCGGAAGAUGAGUGGCGAACGGGUGAGUAAUACAUAGGUAACCUGCCCCUGUGCGGGGGAUAACAGGAGGAAACUCCUGCUAAUACCGCAUAGCCAUGAGCACCGCAUGGAGCUCAUGCCAAAUAUCCUUUCGGGGAUAGCGCAGGGAUGGACCUAUGGCGCAUUAGCUUGUUGGCGGGGCAACGGCCCACCAAGGCAACGAUGCGUAGCCGGCCUGAGAGGGCGGACGGCCACAUUGGGACUGAGACACGGCCCAGACUCCUACGGGAGGCAGCAGUAGGGAAUUUUCGGCAAUGGGGGAAACCCUGACCGAGCAACGCCGCGUGAGCGAAGAAGGCCUUCGGGUCGUAAAGCUCUGUUGUAAAGGAAGAACGGCGCAUACAGGAAAUGGUAUGCGAGUGACGGUACUUUACCAGAAAGCCACGGCUAACUACGUGCCAGCAGCCGCGGUAAUACGUAGGUGGCGAGCGUUAUCCGGAAUCAUUGGGCGUAAAGAGGGAGCAGGCGGCCGCAAGGGUCUGUGGUGAAAGACCGAAGCUAAACUUCGGUAAGCCAUGGAAACCGGGCGGCUAGAGUGCGGAAGAGGAUCGUGGAAUUCCAUGUGUAGCGGUGAAAUGCGUAGAUAUAUGGAGGAACACCAGUGGCGAAGGCGACGGUCUGGGCCGCAACUGACGCUCAUUCCC